GACGAACGCUGGCGGCGUGCUUAACACAUGCAAGUCGAACGGAAAGGCCCUGCUUGCAGGGUACUCGAGUGGCGAACGGGUGAGUAACACGUGGGUGAUCUGCCCUGCACUUCGGGAUAAGCCUGGGAAACUGGGUCUAAUACCGGAUAGGAGCCAUUUUUAGUGUGAUGGUUGGAAAGUUUUUUCGGUGUAGGAUGAGCUCGCGGCCUAUCAGCUUGUUGGUGGGGUAAUGGCCUACCAAGGCGGCGACGGGUAGCCGGCCUGAGAGGGUGGACGGCCACAUUGGGACUGAGAUACGGCCCAGACUCCUACGGGAGGCAGCAGUGGGGAAUAUUGCAAAAUGGGCGCGAGCCUGAUGCAGCGACGCCGCGUGGGGGAUGACGGCCUUCGGGUUGUAAACUCCUUUCGCUAGGGACGAAGCUUUUUGUGACGGUACCUAGAUAAGAAGCACCGGCUAACUACGUG
rnacentral:rRNA from 1 species